rnacentral:misc_RNA from 1 species
ACCAUACUCAACAAUUCAUGCCUACCAAAACAAGCAUUCACAGUCAAAUUAUGAAAUUCAACAACCAUAGCACACCAAUACCAAACUUAAAUGGAAACAUGCAGCUCUAGAAGAACAUUGAAGUUUAAAUUUAAACAUUAUAGUCAAAUUACAGCCCUAACUCAGUUCAAUUGCAACUAAAUUUGGCGUUUGGCUCUCCAGGAAAUGCAAAUUCCAAUUCGAAUUCAAACAGUUAAGCAGGCAAAUGCACACGACGCCAUAAAGAAUAGAGAGAAGAUUAUAUUAAACCCUCAUUGCGGACCAGGAUCUGUACCUGGA